GACGAACGCUGGCGGCGUGCUUAACACAUGCAAGUCGAGCGGUAAGGCCCUUCGGGGUACACGAGCGGCGAACGGGUGAGUAACACGUGGGUGACCUGCCCUCAGCUCUGGGAUAAGCCUGGGAAACCGGGUCUAAUACCGGAUAGGACCUGCUCCUGCAUGGGAGUGGGUGGAAAGUUUUUUCGGCUGGGGAUGGGCCCGCGGCCUAUCAGCUUGUUGGUGGGGUGAUGGCCUACCAAGGCGACGACGGGUAGCCGGCCUGAGAGGGCGACCGGCCACACUGGGACUGAGACACGGCCCAGACUCCUACGGGAGGCAGCAGUGGGGAAUAUUGCGCAAUGGGCGGAAGCCUGACGCAGCGACGCCGCGUGGGGGAUGACGGCCUUCGGGUUGUAAACCUCUUUUAGCAGGGAAGAAGCGAAAGUGACGGUACCUGCAGAAAAAGCACCGGCUAACUACGUGCCAGCAGCCGCCGUAAAAC
rnacentral:rRNA from 1 species